rnacentral:rRNA from 1 species
CUUGUCCUACGGGGGGCAGCAGUGGGGAAUAUUGCACAAUGGGGGAAACCCUGAUGCAGCAACGCCGCGUGAGUGAAGAAGGUCUUCGGAUCGUAAAGCUCUGUUAGCAGGGAAGAGGAAGGACGGUACCUGCAGAGGAAGCCACGGCUAACUACGUGCCAGCAGCCGCGGUAAUACGUAGGUGGCAAGCGUUGUUCGGAAUAACUGGGCGUAAAGGAUGCGUAGGCGGUUAAAAAAGGUAUAUGUUAAAUAUA